AACAGCCAGAUCUGAGUGUGAGUCCUAUUUCUGUCAUUAAAUGCUGAGUGAUCUCAGCAAGUUAUUUCACCUCUCUAUAUUUUAUAAAUGAAAGCAUUUGUAUCCAUUUUACAAGAGUGGUGUGAGUAUUUAACAGAAUAAAAUAUGGAGGAAGAAAAGCAAAUGACUCAGCCCACCUCUUCCCUAACUUACUGAGAUCACACCACACACACACACACACACACACACACCCAAAAUAUCCACAACUAAAGGCAGAGUGCCCACUGUCCAUAUUCCAAACUAUGUGUGCCUUUUUCAUGUUCAGUUUUCUCUGUAACUCUCAAGUUUGUUAUAAGUUUCAUGAAUAUAUUAUUUAAAAGUCCUGGGAUUUUUAACAGCCUUGUGAUAAUCUAUCACUUGGAGAAAAAGAAAAAAAAAUGCAUUAGAAUGUAUGCUGUGAAAACUCCAAGGGCAGAUAAAAGAUUUACCUUCUGUUUUUCCUUUUCCACAAAUAGAAUUGCUGCACUUAGGAUACAGCAAUUUUAUUCUUGAAUACCUUUUGGGAAAACAAAUGUGAUUUGAAAGUCCUAUGAAUUAAAAAAACCCUGAAGCUUCAGUUAAUUAUUUUAUUUAUUAGGUUGGUGCAAAACUAAUCACGGUGUUUGCCAUUUAAAGUACUUUUGCCAUUACUUUAAAUGGCAAAAACCGUGAUUACUUUUGCACCAACCAAAUAUUUUUUUCCUAUGAGAUACAGAAUUAAUGGAUUAGAAUUGAUACUGAAAAAUAUAUAGACCCUGUUGCUCAAGCAGUCAGCUGGAGAGUUCUUGCUCCUGAUUCAAUGCUCAAGGCCCUGCAGUCAGCUGGGGAGUUCUUUCUCCAGACUCAAUGCUCAAGAUCCAGCAGUCAGCUGGGGAGUUCUUUCUCCAGACUCAGUGCUCAAGGUCCUGCAGUCAGCUGGAGAGUUCUUUCUCCUGACUCAGUGCUCAGGGUCCUGCAGUCAGCUGGAGAGUUCUUUCUCCUGACUCAGUGCUCAGGGUCCUGCAGUCAGCUGGAGAGUUCUUUCUCCUGACUCAGUGCUCAGGGUCCUGCAGUCAGCUGGAGAGUUCUUUCUCCUGACUCAGUGCUCAAGAUCCAGCAGUCAGCUGGAGAGUUCUUUCUUGUGACUCAGUGCUCAAGGUCCUGCAGUCAGCUGGAGAGUUCUUUCUCCUGACUCAGUGCUCAAGGUCCUGCAGUCAGCUGGAGAGUUCUUUCUCCUGACUCAGUGCUCAAGAUCCAGCAGUCAGCUGGAGAGUUCUUUCUCCUGACUCAGUGCUCAAAGUCCUGCAGUCAGCUGGAGAGUUCUUUCUCCUGACUCAAUUUGACUUUCCCACAUUCUCUUAUCUGAAACACAUUAAAAUACAACUUCAGGUACUGGAGACUAUGUCUUAAAAGAACACUAAUCUGAUCUUUUGUCCUAAAUUUAUUCAUGCUUACCUGUUCUCGUCUUCAGAGAUUCACUGAUCCUCAUUUGAUUCUGACAUUUCACUUUCAAAAAAAUCAUUAGUCUCCAAAACUCAAUAACUCACUCAACUUCUCUCCCUGGGUUAGAAUAUCCCUCAGACAAGCUGAUGAGAUUCCUUGCACAAUCAGUAAAUAUGACCACUUUCUUCCUUCCAGUCCUGUGAAAUGUGGAUCCAAACAGCUUGACCAAUCUUCCCUACUGAGCAAGAGAUUCAAACGUGGUGAAGUUACAAACAAGCAGAAGCUGCUCUUGUUGCUGGAAUUAAGGGACAGGAGAGACCGAUGGGUGGGCAGGAGGAUUUUAUUUAGGUGCACCGGCCCAGCAGAUU
rnacentral:lncRNA from 1 species